GUUGGGUUGGAUAAAGGAAUGCUGUUUGGUCUGUGACUGCCGAGUGGUGCUGUGAAUGAAUCAGUUCUAGUUAUAGUAGAAUUAGCCAGUGAUUAUCUGAGAAUUUUGGAUAUCCAAGAGCUGAGCCAGCUCAGAAAGAAGAUUUCCAAAAUAAAUGAUAGGUGGAUUAGGGCUUCAGAGACACUAGAGUUACUCAAACAGUGUAAACUUAAUCAGGUUUUCCCUAGGAUGUUCUACAACAUAAAGCUACCAGUCAAUUCUUCUAGACUCCUUAACAACAUGAGAAGCCUUUGCCUAAUGAAUGAAUGCUGUAAUGAAUGCUAAGAGAUAUUAUGGAAUUAAGAAUCAAGAGGUAACCCUUAAAAACAGAUCCCUGACACCAGGCAUCAGAAGACUUUCUAGAGAAUCUGCACUGUCAAGAAGAGACAUUGAAGAGAACCUUAAGAUGCAAGUACGUAAAGCAAUGUACUUGCGUCAUGUGUCGUUAAAUGGCUGUUUAGGCAGCAGAACAUACGGCUGAGGAAGACAUGCGUGGAAGUUGAAGACCUACUGACAGUAGUAGGCGACAUAAAUGUACCCCCAUACGUCCUCGAGCUUGUGACGAAAGGACUGGCAUGUGCACUUGCCAGAGCACUACUCCUAUGGAUGAAAUACCUGCAAUAGAAAGCAUCUUUGCACCCCUUGAUGAUGCUGAUCCUCAGAAACAAACUCUAAGAUAGUUGUAUAUAAGGGUGAGAGAAAAACAGAUUAGGGCUCCCAACUGAGAAACCCAUGAGACGGAACGGAAUGCUUAUCUCGUCAAGAAAACUCUAAAAUGGUUGAAGAACAACAUCACCAUAACAAAGAAAGAUAAGAUAAAGAGAAUCAUCC
rnacentral:lncRNA from 1 species